rnacentral:ncRNA from 2 species
ACCUAGGGUAAAGGUGCUGUAGUUAUUAUUAUUUAUUCUUAGCUGGCAAGCUUUGAGGGAUAAAGAAAGGAAUUGCAGCCGAAGAAGGAUUUCCGGCAGGAACUUUUUCUGGUUUUGUAUAAAAUAUAUGCAGAACUGUCACUAUUCUUUUAUAGUGGAGAGCUACAAGGUGC